GUUUGAUCCUGGCUCAGGACGAACGCUGGCGGCGUGCCUAACACAUGCAAGUCGAACGAGGUCCAUGCAGUGGCAACACUGCGGACGACCUAGUGGCGAACGGGUGAGUAACACGUGAGGAACUUGCCCCGGAGACCGGGAUAACCCUCCGAAAGGAGGGCUAAUACCGGAUGUCCUCACCGAGUCGCAUGGCUUGGUGAAGAAAUGGAUUCCGCUCCGGGAGAGCCUCGCGGCCUAUCAGCUAGUUGGUGGGGUAACGGCCCACCAAGGCGUCGACGGGUAGCUGGUCUGAGAGGACGAUCAGCCACACUGGGACUGAGACACGGCCCAGACUCCUACGGGAGGCAGCAGUGGGGAAUCUUGCGCAAUGGGCGAAAGCCUGACGCAGCAACGCCGCGUGCGGGAUGAAGGCCCUCGGGUUGUAAACCGCUUUCAGUGGGGACGAACCAAGACGGUACCCACAGAAGAAGCCCCGGCCAACUACGUGCCAGCAGCCGCGGUAACACGUAGGGGGCAAGCGUUGUCCGGAUUUAUUGGGCGUAAAGAGCUCGUAGGCGGUUCGGUAAGUCGGGUGUGAAACCUCCAGGCUCAACCUGGAGACGCCACCCGAUACUGCUGUGACUAGAGUCCAGUAGGGGAGCGUGGAAUUCCUGGUGUAGCGGUGAAAUGCGCAGAUAUCAGGAGGAACACCAGUGGCGAAGGCGGCGCUCUGGGCUGGAACUGACGCUGAGGAGCGAAAGCGUGGGGAGCGAACAGGAUUAGAUACCCUGGUAGUCCACGCCGUAAACGUUGGGUACUAGGUGUGGGGUCUUAUCAACGGAUUCCGUGCCGAAGCUAACGCAUUAAGUACCCCGCCUGGGGAGUACGGCCGCAAGGCUAAAACUCAAAGGAAUUGACGG
rnacentral:rRNA from 1 species